CCUACGGGUGGCAGCAGUGGGGAAUAUUGCACAAUGGGGGAAACCCUGAUGCAGCGACGCCGCGUGAGUGAUGAAGUAUUUCGGUAUGUAAAGCUCUAUCAGCAGGGAAGAUAAUGACGGUACCUGACUAAGAAGCUCCGGCUAAAUACGUGCCAGCAGCCGCGGUAAUAAGUAUGGAGCAAGCGUUAUCCGGAUUUACUGGGUGUAAAGGGAGCGCAGACGGCAGGGCAAGUCUGAUGUGAAAGUCCGGGGCUCAACCCCGGGACUGCAUUGGAAACUGUCCGGCUAGAGUGGAGGAGAGGUAAGUGGAAUUCCUAGUGUAGCGGUGAAAUGCGUAGAUAUUAGGAGGAACACCAGUGGCGAAGGCGGCUUGCUGGACUGUAACUGACGUUGAGGCUCGAAAGCGUGGGGAGCAAACAGGAUUAGAUACCCGGGUAGUC
rnacentral:rRNA from 1 species